rnacentral:lncRNA from 1 species
AUUCUUCUCUGCCCGGAGUAAAUAGAUCAGCUUGCAUUCUCUGGGGGUGGGGAGAAUGUAAUUUACAGAUGCUAGUUAAGGUCAUGGUCAUGAAACUUCUCAGUUUUCAUCCCUUCGACCUGCGCGUAUUGAAAAUAUGUAUUUUGACCAGUUCUAAAGAUGAUUUACAUUGCUUUGAAGGUCUGGGAAUGACCUACAAUUAGUUCAGAGGUUAAGUUGUAAGCAUUCAAAGCAUUUGGUUUUGUGUUAAUCCUUAAGGGAGCUGUCAGUAAAUAGUGUGGGGAGGGGGCCGGUUUGAGGGAAAAGAGGUAACUUGACAACCUUCUUUUGAAGUAACAAUCCUUUUCAUCCAGGUAUACUUUUAUAUCUUUAGGAUGGUUUGGAAAGAAAGUCUCACUUCUGGAAACUGGCAAAUUCAGUAAAGCUUUUAAAAUAAAAGGCAGACAAUCUUGAGUUUUUGUAGACUCAUGCACUAUGGGACAAAAAGAGCAAAGACUUCUCACUAAAAGAAAAUAGUUGUUUAAGACAGAGAUUCAGGAUGUCUGAAUCCUGGGCAGGUCCUCGGAACCCCCUUUUCCUCAGGAACUUGACCUCUCUGCAGGGGUUUUGGUUGGCAACUACUGUUUCCCUAAAGAGUGGAGCUUUUGAGUUCUUUGUUCCAGGAUUGGUUGGUGAAAACAAUGCCACUCAAAUGCCUACUGUUAGAGUUAUGCAGAAAACCCAGGUAACUUGGCAGAAAUCCUUCUUUUGUUAGGUUAAUAUAUCUUCUCCCUUUUAUAAGUGUAUGGUAAUUCUCAAACCUGCUGAACUAGGAGUCACCUGGGGGUGAAAUUAGAACCAUAAAAGGGAAGAACAGGGGAAUCCUCAUUUUGUAACAAGAGUUUCUGGUAAUUCUAUGAAUAAGCCUGCGCACCUGUAGCAGGUGAUCUCACUGAGCUACAUAAUGAUGGCCGAGUCUACCCUUUUUUUCUUUUUGAAAGAAUAUGAAAUUCACCUGCUUCCAUGGCUCCAUGGCCCCUUAUCAUUUGCUUCUGGUUACCGAGAACCUCAGAUCGAUUCUGAUUUUGCAAGCAGACCUGCUACCUUGCUAGCAAGAUUUCCCAAAGCCUCAACAGUUCUUCAGUCCUCUGAUUACAAAGGGAAGGCAGAAGAGAGCAAAAACAGUAGAAAACAACACUCACCCUUCAGGGCUCAGUGAGCCUUGGAGACCGCACCCGAUGUAUAGGAGAUGCUUAACCAACGACGGCUGUGUUUCCGGAUUGAGUGCAUGCUCGUUAAGUUCUUAUUCUGCAGCUAGAUUCUCCUGGAGCAAAUAAGGAAUCAACUGAGUUACUCUGGGAAACUCUCUCAACCUUUACAAUUGGUCGAGUCUGUGCUGUAUUUAAAAUGGAUAACCAACGAGGACCCACCGUAGGGCACGAGGAACUCCACUCAGGGUCACAUGGCAGCCUGGAUGGGAGGGGCGUCUGGGGGAGAAUGGGCGCAUGGGUAG